rnacentral:rRNA from 1 species
GAUGAACGCUGGCGGCGUGCCUAACACAUGCAAGUCGAGCGAUUCUCUUCGGAGAAGAGCGGCGGACGGGUGAGUAACGCGUGGGUAACCUGCCUCAUACACAUGGAUAACAUACCGAAAGGUAUGCUAAUACAAGAUGAUGUAAGAGAUUCGCAUGGAUUUCUUAUCAAAGCUCCGGCGGUAUGAGAUGGACCCGCGUCUGAUUAGCUAGUUGGUAAGGUAACGGCUUACCAAGGCGACGAUCAGUAGCCGACCUGAGAGGGUGAUCGGCCACAUUGGAACUGAGACACGGUCCAAACUCCUACGGGAGGCAGCAGUGGGGAAUAUUGCACAAUGGGCGAAAGCCUGAUGCAGCAACGCCGCGUGAGCGAUGAAGGCCUUCGGGUCGUAAAGCUCUGUCCUCAAGGAAGAUAAUGACGGUACUUGAGGAGGAAGCCCCGGCUAACUACGUGCCAGCCGCCGCCGUAAUAC